AGACAUUACAAGCAAAAACUUUAAAAUCAAAGGACUUGACGGUGUUGUAAACCAACCUAGAGGAGCCUGUCCAAUAAUCGAUAACCCACGCUUUACCUCACCCCCCCUAGCAAGCCGCCUAUAUACCGCCGUCGCCAAGCCUACCUUUUGAAAGAACAGCCGCAGGCACAAUAAACACAACUCUAACACGUCAGGUCAAGGUGUAGCUAAUGGGGUGGAAAAAGAUGGGCUACACUCUCUUUAUUAAGAGCCCACCACCAGCCAAAUGAAACCAAGCUAAAAGCUGGAUUUAGCAGUAAUCCUGGCAAGAAAGCCAGAAUGAAACACGCACUGCAACACGCACACACCGCCC
rnacentral:rRNA from 1 species